rnacentral:lncRNA from 1 species
CAGAUGUAGAGAAGGAAAGUCCACCACAAAAUACAGUCUGUCAGCCCAUAUGGUUUUACUACCAGGCAUGUCCACAGUAUGAUCUAUAUAGAAAGAGGACUUCUCACUGCUGGGACAAAGGCCAUUAAAAAGUCUUGGCCCUCCUAGAGGCUAUUUGGCUUCACUACAAACUGCUCUCCUCUAUUGCCAGGCUGUUGACCUGGCUGCCUGACAAACAGUCCUCAGACCAGCGGGACCUAUUGAUAUUCUGAUGACAUUUCACAAACAUGGUACUGCCUGAGACUCCAUGGUGAAGAAGAAAUGGACAGCUCAAACGGUCAGGUUGGUGGAGGCCACCGGAGGGAAGGAUCAUUCUCCUAGAAGCAACUGACAGGACUCUGGGAACUGAAGUUCACCAGGCUUCUGAUCCAGGGUCCACAAAACUCUCUGAGUUUCCCAGACCAAGGGCUUGGAUUGUACAACAUAGCAUCGUCCUCCAGGCUGCAACCAUGAGUUUUCCCAGUCAAGUUGUACAGAUGUCUGGUCAUGUUAAGUGAAAUGAGUCUCCUGGUGGGCCUGUGGCCCUGGCUUUAGAAGACCACCUGUGGAACUUUCCAACUGAGGGCUCUUCAGAGUGGCAGAGAAGCUGCUGAUCUGUUGCCCUGGCUGUAGUAGAUCUCCUGGGAGGCCUUCAGACUGGUAGAUCUUCAGAGGAGCAGUCAAGUUGUUGUCCUGUGCGAAGAUGUUCUCCACGGGGACCUAUGUACUGUGGUUUCUGUAUCCCUAUGUGCAGCAGCACUCCUGGGAGGCUUUCAGUCUGUCGGGUCAGUUGCCCUGCAUGCCACAGAGCCUCUGGAAGGUCUUUAGACUGUGGUGUCUUUUGUCCAGUUGCCCUGUAUACAGAGGAACUCCUGGGAUGCCUUCAAGCUGUGGUGUCUUCAGGGGAACAGACAAGCUGGUGAUCAGUUGCCCAGCUGUUCUGAGUGCAGCAGAUCUUCUGGGAUGGUUCAGGAUAUAGUGUCUUCAGAGGACCAGACGAGAUAGCAGUCUGCCCCCCAGCAGAAAGAGGAGAGUGGUAUUUGGUGGGCAGGGGUUUUGGUGGGUGAUGGGUCCCAAGUCCACUGGCCUCCCAAUGGGAGCUCUGGGACUUGGGGAGUAGGGUCUUACCAACUGCUCUGAGUGCAGCAAAUCCUUUAGGAUUCAUUGAAUCAUGAUAUGGUGUUUUCAGGGGAGCAGACCAGCUAGCAACCUACCCCAGCAGAAAGAACUAGGCAGAAGGGCAAUAAUUUGUUCUUAUUGUUAAGAGUUUUUCUGAUGGGCUUUUCCCCUGUAAAUAAGCAAAAAUGGUGAGAGAUGGGCUGAAUAGAUUCCUGAAUUCAAAGCUAGUUUACUCUGCCUUGCUGUUCUAGUUGCUUUGUGGAAAAAAAAAACACUAUCAAGCAGCCAACUGAACCCCCCUGCUGCCCAUUUUGAGAAGGCUUGGUUGUGGCCUGGCCAGCAACUGUUUCAAGUAGCUUUUGAGGACUUUGCCAGAAACCUUUUGCUUCAUGCUUACUUGCUAAAUAUGGACUGUUGUAAACUGGUGCAAAAGAGACAAUGGACGCUUGGUGUGAAUGUAAUCCUUUGUUGACUUGAAGGCUACUGUGAUUGGUGUAAACACUUCUUGUAUAGCUACAGAAGCAGGUUGUUCAGCUCACUUAGUGAGCCAGCCAGAAGGCACCCUUCUGUACUGCCUCCCCUGGUUUGCAAUGUCAGGCAAGGAGGACAGCUUUUAUAGAGUGGAAUUGCGCUAGCUAUUUUUGAUAUUCAUCAUUAGUACAGUUGGCAAUAUGAGGAAGAAGUGGACAUAACAUUGAUAGCCACAGAAGAAUCACCAUGACACAAAAAGAAGGAACUAGGGAAUGAGAAGAGACCUAGGGAUACAGAAUAGAAGACUUUAAAUAGCCAAGGACUGAAUGUGUUCCAAAAAGUUUCUUACAAUAAAGCAAGUGCAAAGGGUCUCAGUUAACACUGGCCAGUAUGAAGAACUAGUGAAUCCUGAAACCUAGACUCAGAAGCCACAAUGCUAUUCACUGCCAAGGGCUGAUGAGUCCUGAGUUCCUAGACUACACAGGAGCUGUAACACUUGUAGGGAAAGCAUCCUAGAAUCUUAAGGACACAGAAGAGCUGGAAAACCAUAGUGGACCAUCUGCGGCUGCUCUUGUCUGUCUGCUUUUUCUGCUUUGUAUUGACAGGUGACAAGGAAUAUAAACUCUGCCAGAGACCUGGUACUCUUCUUCUACCAAUGAUUGCCACCCCAGUAAAACAAAAGGACCCCAACAGAGGAUGGUUAACACUUCCAUCAUAAUGUGAACAAAAUUGGCCUUAUGCCAGUGGUCCUGACUGGAACAGCCAUGCCAUGUGCAGAAGACAGCAUUUCAAAGCACUCCUUUCCAUGUUCCUAAACUCAAAAUCUGUCCACUCUUUCUUUCAUGAUGUUCCUCGGUUUGGAGCGGCAAUCUGAUGUCCUCUUUAGGGCUGAGAGCUCAAGUCACUUGCUUUCAGCACAUCAACCAGGUCGACAGCUUCCAAGCUCAGCUUUGAAAGUCCUUCAUUAAUUAAGCAUAUCCUCAAUUGGUAGAUCCAGAUUUUCUGUUGUAAACAGGAGGAGCUAUGGAGCUGGAGAAAGCUAGCCAUGUAAAGCAGAUGCAGACUAGGCUAGACCUGCUGCCCAGAAGAAGCAGAAACCAGCCCAGCUGCCUGGACGAGUUUUAGAGCAGCGGAGUCACUUGGAAAGGAAAAUGGAAAACCUCCAACCUGCUGAGCUGCUUACAGACUGUGCAGUGUGCUCCAGAUUCCCAUUUUGUCCCCCACACUGAGGUUAACUGUGCCAACAGAGUAUCAGUUGUCUGAACAUGGUCAUGGCAGGAUGUAAAGUGAAUAUGUAAAAAAAUUAAGUUAAAAAACAAACAAACAUGGAAUUGCGUGUGAGGAGAUUUCUGAGUGAGAAAACUAAGAAACGAAGACAAAAGUCUGGUGACCUGAGUUUCUUCAGAAACAAGGAAUUGUUCUUGGAUUAUGCUUUUGCGCCCCUUUCAGGUGUAGCACAAAAGAGUGAACUGUCUCUGAGGUAUUGAAAUCACCUCCUAUUACUGAAAUGGGAAUAAAUUUGUACCUUGACAUCUAAUACUUUGAUUUUUAUGAAACUGGAUGUAUCAGAGGUUGGUACGUACAUGUUUAGGAUUGUAAUGUCUUCUUUGUUAAUUGUUCUUUUGAUCAAAGUGAAGUGUCAUUCUAUAUCUCUUCUGAAUAAUUUUAGAUUGACAUUUAUAUUGUCAUGUAUUAGGAUAGCAGCAACUUUUUGUUUCUUGGUCCUAUUUGCUUGGACUAAUUUUUUUUCAUACUUCACUCUCAAGUAGCACCAAUCCUUGAAGUUAAGAUGAGGGGUUUUUUUUCCAAGAAAACAAAAAAAAUGUUUUGUUUGUUGAUUUAUUCAACCAACCUCUGUCUUUCUAUUGGGGGAAAUUAAGGCCAUUAAUAUUUAAAGUAAGGUGUGUGACAAUUGCUGUCAUUUUGCUCUUUAAUUUUGCUAUUUCUGUUCUUAGUUUUAUUUUGUGCUUUGAUAAUUAUAACUUCAUUUGUUUUCUUCCCAGAGUCUCCUGAGUAUGAUUACUUAUUUUCUCUCUAGUCCAAAUAUUGCUCCCAGUAGUCUCUGUAGUGCUAGAUUGCUGGGUAUGAGUUCUUUCAGAUCGGUUUACAUGGUAAGUUGGUAUUUUUUUUCCUUCAACUAUGGCAGAUAGUUUUGCUGGGUAAAGUGGUCUGUAUUGCCAUCUGUAGUCUUUUAGAACUUGGAAUAUAUUAUUCCCAGUCUGCUGGCUUUAAAACUUUCCAUUGAGAAGUCAGUACUUAUUCUAAUGGGUUUGCCUUCAUGUGAGACUUGAGAUUUUUCUAUGAGGAAAAGGAGAAAGAGGCAUCCCAUGAUUUGAAGUGAGUUAAGAAACUGUGGGGGGAAAGGGUGUCCUGAGGAAGAUUUAGACUAACCAUGGAAAUGAAACUCUGGACAUGUUUGUGAGGGAUUUUCUACUUUAUGUUAGUUGAACUGAGAAGACCCACCCUAAAUAUGAGUGGUUCCAUUCCAUGGGCUGAUGUUCCAGACUGAAUAAAACAAAGAAAGGGAGCUGAGCACCAGUAUUUAUCUCUAUCUCCUGACUGCAGGUGCAAGAUAUCCAGCUACCUCAAGUUCCUGAUUCCACAUCCCCACACCUUGAUGGACUCUGAUUUUGAGUCAAAAUAAACCCUUCUUUCCUUAAGUUGAUUUUGUUAUGCAUUUUGACACAGCAAAAGACACAAACCCAACACAAAAUAUUUCCUCUCAAAUAGGCAAUAUAUUUGUACUGAGAUGCAUUAUUCUCUGAAAACAACAAACAGCAAAACAGAACACACGACAGAAGAUUGGAGAAGAGAGAUUAACAGGCAAAUUUAUUCUAAACAUGUUAUAUAUGAAUGCAUGGAAUUUUCAAACAAUAAAAAAUAAUUAUUUGAAAAAAGAAAACAAGUGACAACUGCAGCCAAGGAACCAUGUGUAAACUGAUGCAGCCACUAUAUAAGUAACUAUGUAGAUUACUCAAAACACUAGAACUUAAAUGGCCAUAUGACCCAGUCAUAGCAUUCUUAGGUAUAUAUGUCUAAGGGAUUCAAAGAGAUACUUGAACACCCACAUUUAUUGCUGCUUAUUCAUAAUAGCUAGGCAAUGGAAUUAGUCUAGAUGUCUAUUAACAGACAAAUGAGCCAAGAAAAUAUACUACAAGUAUAUCCUGAUUUUUUAAAAAAUUAAUUCAUUCACUUUACAUCCUGAUCACAGGUGCCCUCCUUCCUCUCCUCCCCGUCCCUCCCUCUCACCUUCCCUCCCUUCAAUGCCACCCUCUCUCCUCAGAGAACUGGAGGCCUCCCAUGGAUUCCAUCCUGAGUGAGAUAACCCAGAUCCAGAGAGAUAAACAUAGUAUGUACUCAAUUAUAAGUGGAAAUUAGCCACAAAGAAAGGAUAAUCAUGCUACAAUCCACAGACUCAAAGAAGCUAAAUAACUUUGUCUCUGUAACUCCUUCCAUGGGUAUUGUGUUCUCCAUUCUAAAAAGAACGAAGUAUCCACACUUUGGUCUUCCUUCUUCUUGUGUUUCAUGUAUUUUGCAAAUUGUAUCUUGGAUACUCUAAGUUUCUGGGCUAACAUCUGCUUAUGAGUGAGUGCAUACCAUGUGUGUUCUUUUGUAAUUGGGUUACCUCACUCAGAAUGAUAUCCGAGUUACAGAGACAAAGUUUGGAGCUAAGACGGAAGGAAAGACCAUCCAGAGACUGCCUCAUCUGGGGAUCCAUCCCAUAUACAACCACCAAACCCAGACACUAUUGCAUAUGCCAGAAAGAUUUUGCUGACAAGACACUGACAUAGCUCUCUCUUGUGAGGUCAUGCCAAUGCCUGGCAAAUACAGAAGUGGAUGCUCACAGUCAUCUAUUGGAUGGAACACAGGGCUCCUAAUGAAAAAGCUAGAGAAAGUACCCAAGGAGCUAAAGGGGUCUGCAACCCUAUAGGAGGAUCAAUGAUAUGAACUAACCAGUACCCACCAGAGUUGUGUCUCUGGUUUCAUAUGUAGCAGAGGAUGGCCUAGUCAGUCAUCAAUGGGAAGAGAGGCCCUUGGUAUUGUGAAGAUCAUAUGCCCCAGUACAGGGGAAUGCCAGGGACAG